GCCUAGAUUAGCAUACGGGGCGGGGCUCGCUGCGCCCCGCCUUCUCUGCGGCUGCACCGCCCCGCGGGGGUUCGGUUCCGAGCGUCGCCUUCCUCUACGGUCUCCGUGUGGAGCCCGGCCGCGGGGUUCUAACGGUCCAGCCCGCAGGGACUCAGGACUGCGGUCUACCCCCGACCUCCUCACACCUUCCGGGGUGACCUGAGGGCGGAGCCUGAGUCCUGUGUCCCCGGUUGCACCGCCCCCAACCACCCCCGUCCCCUGUCGACCCCGUCUCCAGUCUCUUCCAAACCGGCCGGCCCCCGGCCUAGCAAUUCGAGAUUUCUCCCGUGGCUUCCGAGGAAAAGGAGGCCCCUACCCUGUAUCUGUGCCCUCCUUUGCAUCAGGGACCUAAACUGCUGUUUUGGAGAGGUUGUCUCUACCCCUCAGCUUGGUUGGUUUGAAACCCUGCACGACCUGUGAAGUCUUCCCCGGAUGGCUACAUCGUCUGGGGUCCCUUGUCCUGCCUGUACCCACAGCAAGCCCACGAAUCCAGGGCUUCCCUUGUUUCUGGAACAGCACAAGAGGCACAACCAACCAACCAGGCAGCUGCCUCACCAGCAGCCUUCGAGUCACGGCUAACUCUUCAUUACUCACCAGGCCCUGAGGUUCUGUGGCUUCCCAGCUCUCAGCUGUCCCCCACCCCAGCGCCACCGCCCCUCAAAUGGGCCUUCACUUCUGCGCUGGGUCUCCUCACAGCCUCUCACCUGGCUGCCUGCCCAGUCUUCCCCACCCUAUCUCAGGAGAUCUUCCUAACUGGCAGGUCGAGGCACAACUUGGGGCAGCCAGCCCUGCAGGGGAAACUGUAUCCCCCAAGCGACUCCAGCUGGAUGUCAGGCCCUGAGAGAGGCAAGAGGUGGAGGAAGGGGGUGAUCCCAGAGAUGGAGCAGCUCUUCUCACCCACCAGAGCCUUGAGGGCUGCUGUGACA
ensembl:lncRNA